UCAAAGGAAUUGACGGGGGCCCGCACAAGCAGCGGAGCAUGUGGUUAAUUCGACGCAACGGCGAAGAACCUUACCAAGGCUUGACAUAUACCGGAAAGCAUCAGAGAUGGUGCCCCCCUUGUGGUCGGUAUACAGGUGGUGCAUGGCUGUCGUCAGCUCGUGUCGUGAGAUGUUGGGUUAAGUCCCGCAACGAGCGCAACCCUUGUUCUGUGUUGCCAGCAUGCCCUUCGGGGUGAUGGGGACUCACAGGAGACUGCCGGGGUCAACUCGGAGGAAGGUGGGGACGACGUCAAGUCAUCAUGCCCCUUAUGUCUUGGGCUGCACACGUGCUACAAUGGCCGGUACAAUGAGCUGCGAUGCCGCGAGGCGGAGCGAAUCUCAAAAAGCCGGUCUCAGUUCGGAUUGGGGUCUGCAACUCGACCCCAUGAAGUCGGAGUUGCUAGUAAUCGCAGAUCAGCAUUGCUGCGGUGAAUACGUUCCCGGGCCUUGUACACACCGCCCGUCACGUCACGAAAGUCGGUAACACCCGAAGCCGGUGGCCCAACCCCUUGUGGGAGGGAGCUGUCGAAGGUGGGACUGGCGAUUGGGACG
rnacentral:rRNA from 1 species